AGAGUUUGAUCAUGGCUCAGGAUGAACGCUAGCGACAGGCUUAACACAUGCAAGUCGAGGGGCAGCGAGGGAGUGGCAACACUUCUGUCGGCGACCGGCGCACGGGUGAGUAACGCGUAUCCAACCUGCCUUACACUCUUGGACAGCCUUCUGAAAGGGAGAUUAAUACAAGAUGUUAUCAUGAGUAAGCAUUUUCGCAUGAUUAAAGGUUACCGGUGUAAGAUGGGGAUGCGUUCCAUUAGAUAGUAGGCGGGGUAACGGCCACCUAGUCUUCGAUGGAUAGGGGUUCUGAGAGGAAGGUCCCCCACAUUGGAACUGAGACACGGUCCAAACUCCUACGGGAGGCA
rnacentral:rRNA from 1 species